GUACACGCUGUGACUAGCAUAUCAAUAAGCGGAGGAAAAGAAACUAACAAGGAUUCCCCUAGUAACGGCGAGUGAAGCGGGGAGAGCUCAAAUUUGAAAUCUUAAAGGGUUUCCCUUUACGAAUUGUAGUUUAAAGAAGUGUUUUCUGUUGAGGUCUUGGUAAAAGUUCUUUGGAAUAGGACAUCAUAGAGGGUGAGAAUCCCGUAUUUGACCUUUACUUUCAACUUUGUGAUACACUUUCAAAGAGUCGGAUUGUUUGGGAAUGCAGUCCAAAAUGGGUAGGUAAAUUUCAUCUAAAGCUAAAUAUUGGCGAGAGACCGAUAGCGAACAAGUACCGUGAGGGAAAGAUGAAAAGAACUUUGAAAAGAGAGUUAAACAGUACGUGAAAUUGUCAAAAGGGAAGCGUUUGACACCAGUGUUGUUUUUCUGAAAAUCAAUUAAAGGACUGUUUAUGCUAAGUUGUUUAGACUUUAUCAGCUAUCUGUUUAGUUUUGAGCUUUUCUUUAAUGCACUUUUCAGUUAACAAGUCAACAUCAAUUUCUUUUGCUGUAAAAAAGCUUGAGGAUGGUGGCUUGAGAUUCGUCUUAAGUGUUUAUAGCCUCUUGCCUAUGCAGUCGGAGAGAUUGAGGUCUGCAGCGUAGAUCCUUCGGGGCUAAAUGCAUUUGUGCUAAGUUAUAGCAUUUUAUAGACAACUUGUUGACUAUGAUUUGUCUUGUAGCUUACUCGCUUAUGUUAUUUUACCUACGCUUAGGAUGUUGACGCGCGUGUGUGCGU
rnacentral:rRNA from 1 species